rnacentral:rRNA from 1 species
GAGUUUGAUCGUGGCUCAGAUUGAACGCUGGCGGCAUGCCUUACACAUGCAAGUCGAGCGGCAGCGCGGGGGCAACCCUGGCGGCGAGCGGCGCACGGGUGAGUAAUGCAUCGGAACGUGUCCUCUUGUGGGGGAUAACCAGUCGAAAGACUGGCUAAUACCGCAUGAGCACGAGAGUGGAAAGCGGGGGACCGUAAGGCCUCGCGCGAGAGGAGCGGCCGAUGCCGGAUUAGCUAGUUGGUGGGGUAAAGGCCUACCAAGGCGACGAUCCGUAGCUGGUUUGAGAGAACGACCAGCCACACUGGGACUGAGACACGGCCCAGACUCCUACGGGAGGCAGCAGUGGGGAAUUUUGGACAAUGGGGGCAACCCUGAUCCAGCCAUGCCGCGUGUGUGAAGAAGGCC